GAACGCACAUUGCGCCCAUUAGUAUUCUAGUGGGCAUGCCUGCUCGAGCGUCAUUUCAACCCUUAAGCCUCUGUUGCUUAGUGUUGGGAGCCUACGGCACCCGUAGCUCCUCAAAGUUAGUGGCGGAGUCGGUUCACACUCUAGACGUAGUAAUUCUUAUCUCGCCUAUCAAUUGGACCGGUCCCCUGCCGUAAAACCCCCCAUUUUUAAAGGUUGACCUCGGAUCAGGUAGGAAUACCCGCUGAACUUAA
rnacentral:misc_RNA from 1 species